UACAAGGUGAAGUAUGUAGAGUUUUGCUUUGAGAAAUUGGGAGUUAGUUCUGAUUAUGUGUUGACUAUCUUAGAGAAACUGAGAAAGCUUUACAAAGAAUAUGAGCGAGCAUCUCUAGAUACAUCUGUAGCUGAGAGCAGUGGUGAAGAGAACUUUGGAGAUGCCCCUAAUGAUGAGAUGGUUGAGUUUGAACUGUUUGAGAGUCAAUUAUAUUUAGCAAGUAGGUCCAAGUCUCAGUUAGAAGAGUAUCUAGAUGAAAAAUUAGUCAGUUGGAAGAAAAAUGAUCAUUUGAAUGUUCUCGAGUAUUGGAAAGGCGAAUGCGAGAAGCGUCCUCAAUUGUCGAUGAUGGCUCGAGAUAUAUUGAGUAUUCCUAUUACUUCGGUGGCCUCUGAAUCGGCUUUCAGCAUUGCGGGACGUGUGCUUGACAAGUAUCGAAAUCGUCUUCUUCCGGAGAAUGCUGAAGCUCAAAUUUGUACUGGUUCUUGGUUAGACGGGAUUCCUUCUCUGGCAGACAUUGAAGAAGGAAAUUUAUUAGUACAUGAUUUCAGUAAUCUAGAGGUUUCUGAAUCGAAAGGCGAAAGUGAUUAAGGCUGCUGUUUCCGACUUGAGAAAGGCACAUAAAUUUUCUCCAGAAGAUGAGACUAUAGCAGAAGUUUUCAGUUGCAUUUGGAGCUGAAGUUGCUGUUGUUGCUGAUGCAAUUCUUGUUGCUGCUGCAGCUGUUGAAGAUGAUGUUGCUCCUCUAACUGAAGUUUCAAAAAUUGCUCCAACUCUGGCAUAUACUGGUUAACUGACUGUUGAUGCUGCAGAGAACCUUGAAUUUGUUCAAUAAAUGGCACAGACGAAUUCUGACGAGAAAGCAAGCGCUGCUGCUGAAGCUGCUGUUGCUGUUGCUGCUGCUGCUGCUGCUGCUGCUG